GCCGGUGUGACGCAACAGGCAGACGUGCUCGGCUCAGACCCGAGAAGUGCAGGUUCGAAUCCUGCCACCGGUA
rnacentral:tRNA from 1 species